ACUGCUCAGUAACACGUGGACAACCUGCCCUUAGGUUGGGUAUAAACCCGGGAAACUGGGUAUAAUACCCGAUAGGUCUCGAUUGCUGGAAUGCAUCGAGAUUUAAAGCUCCGGCGCCUAAGGAUGGGUCUGCGGCCUAUCAGGUAGUAUCCCGGUGUAGCGUACCUACUAGCCUACGACGGGUACGGGUUGUGAGAGCAAGAGCCCGGAGAUGGAUUCUGAGACACGAAUCCAGGCCCUACGGGGUGCAGCAGGCGCGAAAACUUUACAAUGCUGGCAACAGCGAUAAGGGAACCUCGAGUGCCAGGUUACAAAUCUGGCUGUCGAGAUGCCUAAAAAGCAUUUCAUAGCAAGGGCCGGGCAAGACCGGUGCCAGCCGCCGCGGUAACACCGGCGGCUCGAGUGGUAACCGUUAUUAUUGGGUCUAAAGGGUCUGUAGCCGGCCGGAUAAGUCUCUUGAGAAAUCUGGCAGCUUAACUGUCAGGCUUUCAGGAGAUACUGUCUGGCUCGAGGCCGGGAGAGGUGAGAGGUACUUCAGGGGUAGGGGUGAAAUCUUGUAAUCCUUGAAGGACCACCAGUGGCGAAGGCGUCUCACCAGAACGGACCUGACGGCAAGGGACGAAAGCUAGGGGCACGAACCGGAUUAGAUACCCGGGUAGUCCUAGCCGUAAACGAUACUCGCUAGGUGUCGGCCACGGUGCGACCGUUGUCGGUGCCGUAGGGAAGCCGUGAAGCGAGCCUCCUGGGAAGUACGGCCGCUAGGCUGAACUUAAAGGAAUUGGCGGGGGAGCAC
rnacentral:rRNA from 1 species